GAACAUGAGCUGGCCCCUGGUCCUGGUGCUUACGUGCUGGGUUCAAUCCAAGGCGGGGAGGUGUCGGGGGAGGAUUACCCAAGCCAGAUAGAAGGAACUGCAUGAGUGAAGGCCCUUGGACAGCAAACAGCUUGAUGCCUUCCAAGAAGCGAACGAAGCCAUUGGAAGAAGCAAGUUGCCACCUCAGCUUUUCUCCCCUGGUAAGGGGGUAUUUUCCCUUUCAAGGAGAAAGGAGAGAGAGGCCGCAUCUGGGGCACUGUCCAGAGCUGUGAGGCUGUCCAACAAGCACUUGGAUUCUGGCUUCCAUGGGGCCAUAGUUAGUUGGUGAACGUCUGCUCCGACCUUCUUCCCACAGCAGAUGUCCCUUCCACAGUGUCCUAGGGAGAGAGAAGGACCCUUAGGAGGGAGUUCUGGGGAAGCCAGGACAGAGACCAAAGCCCAGGGCCUGCCAGCUUCCAUUCAGCCACCCCAGGACAAGUACCUACUCUGUGCCAAGUUCUGUGCUAAUCUUGCCAAUUUGGAAUAUCAUGAACCUUUAACCUUUUCCUUUGUCUUACCUGGGACACACAACCUUUCAUUCCACAGGUAGGGAUGAUGGACUCAAAUGUGAAUGAUGGCUGCCGGGUGGAGAGCUCUGCUCGCCUUGGGGAAGGAAGUGGCAUUUGAGUUCAGUCCUAGGUGCAUGGAUGCACAUGGACCAUUAAUUUAUGGAGUGGACUAAACUCUUAAGCUCUUGGAGGGAGGAAUCCUGUUGUUGAUGGUGAAUCUGCAGUGCUUAGCGUGAUGCCUGGCUCAUCACAGGUGCUCAGUAUGAUAUAGAGAUUUAUUUGGAGAUUCUCUCCAGGAGAGAGACAGCCAUCUCUCCAGGAAGGCUGUCCAAAUUCGAACCCAGGUUUCUGUCCCUUUGCCCGAGGCCUGCCAUUGGGCCACAGCUACCUAGUGACAGAAAAACUAAGGGAUGUUUGAGGAACUUGAAAUCAUGUCUUGGGGAACUGGGACUGCUUGGCAAGAAAACACAAAGGCACAGGGAGAUCAGGAACGUGGUCUUUAAAUCCUCCAAGAACUGUUGUGGUGAUGUUGUUACCAGUUACUGAGCCCGUCCUAUGUGCCAGGCACUGUGCUAGGGGCUUCACAUACGCAAUCUCAUUUAAUCCUCACAAUAAUCCCAAAAGGAGAAUAUUAUUAUCUAUAUUUGAUAAGGGAGGGAACUGGGGCUUAGAUUAAAUGACCCACCCAAGAUUGUCUACCUGAGAUGUAGAAUAGGUCUCUCUGACUCCCAGACUCCAAAUUGCUGAGAGAGUUUAACCAACACAACAGCACUGCCUAGAGAUUUUGUCAUGUGGUUUCAGAAACUAGAGCUGGCACUCGUGGGUAGGAGCUCCAGGAAGGUAGUUUCCUGUUCCCUGUAGGGUGAUUUCUCUUCCUAAAGGAGAACAGUCUGAAAUUAGAAUGGUCUGCCUUCUGGAGCCCAGCUAACACUGCAGGACCUCCCAGGAUCUUCAACUUCAAUGGGAUCUGGUUCUACAAAAGCUGAAGCUCUCCUGCCUUAGCUUGGUAGGGGCUUUUUCUGAACUGAGCUGACAUGAGCAGCAGUACUCAGACUUCCUAGGUCAACCCAGCCUGGACUCUGUUCUGGUUCCUGUUCUCCCUGAAGCCCAAGCUAUAGGGCUGGGUUCAGGUUUCUUCCAAAAGGAGCUGGGCAGGAAUGUGCACCUGACCCCCUUUGGAAUGGGCCACACAACCACAUGGCCAGGUCUCUGGACCCUGGCAUGGAAGCCGGCACUUGUUUGGGCUUCAGGGGAGGGCAGAUUGGAGUAGACGCACCUGUUCUGGGCUCUUGAGGGCUACAGACGUUUACAUGGAUGCAUUCAUUGUCCUGUGCCUUUCACUUUGCCUCACUGACUUCUGGUGGCCAUGUGGCUGGCUCCAGGAUGCAGAAGGGUAUGGGUUGGCUCUUGAGCCCCUGCCACACAUCGAGUGAGCUGAUAUCAGUGGUUUACACAGGAGGCUGCAGGAGCAGGGGACAACCAAUUGGAAUUGCAAGACAUGGAUGAGAUUGCGUUUUCAACUCCAGAGCAUUUUGACCAGAAAUUAGAGUUGGAAAGGCCCUAAAGGUGAUAUUGUCCAGCUACACACCCAGCGUGGAGUUGCUCCACUCAGCACCCCUGCCAGGCAGUCGGCCAGGCUUUCCUUCAACAAGGCUAAUUUUGGAUGGCUCUAAUGAGGAGGAACUCCUUCCUGGCCCUCCGCAGAGUCUGUUCCUAUGCACUGCCUUAUUGCCUCUCACCGUGGCCUUGUGAGGGGUUCUGUAUUCAAUGAGCUUGCGUGAUCCUGGGCAGGCCUUCUUUGUGUCUCCCACCCACCGUUUCUGCAUGAGCACGUCUGCUUCCCUUUGGUGAAGUUUUCCUGUUACCACUCCUGGGAUACGAAUCCAGGGUAAGCAUUGGUGACCUGUCUUACAGCGUGGUGAGGUUCAAAGAUAAGGCAUAGGCCUUGCCCACGUCAUCCCACACGUGUGGCCAGGCAAGGACCACAACCCCCGAGAUGCUCAGUCUUGUGCUUUGCUGCUCAGGCACAGUCUGCCUCCUUCCUGAUCUCUGGCAUGUUUUAUCGGCAAGAUUUAGAAAGCCCUUUCCAAACAGCAAGGUUAAAGCUUUGGGCUUCCUUCUUUAGAAUGUACCUGGCUGGUGGGGUGAGUGUGGGGAUGGACACGUAGGAGCCACAUGGUACCAGGAACAGGACAUAGCAGCAAGGAGGAGGGAUCUGGAGGGGGGCCAGGGUGUGAUGGCUGAGUGCCUCGGAGAAGGGCCGCCGCCACGGGAGGCUGGGGCCACCCUGGUAACUCCCUCCUGUUCUCCUUCAGAGGUCUUUCAUCUCCCUGCCUCCUUUGUCUUUCGGCUUUUCUCCUUUUUUUCUUCUUGUGAGGCAGCCCUGAGCUGUUCUGCCUUCCAGCUCUUUAGCAUCUUCUCUUCUGUCUACCUGGAGAUUCCCGAUCUUAAGGUUUAGCAUCCUUGAUGCAUCAUAUUUCUUUAUAACGUCUUCUCCUUCAGGGCUCUGCAGCCAUACCUGCCAUUUCAGAGCAACUCCUGUCUGUACCUGGGAGCUUUAACACUGAGCCUCAACCAGACAGUCUGGAUGCUUGGCUGCCAGCCUGCCCAGAACAUUUAAUUACCUCUUGCAGGUGACAUCUUAUUCCACAGCGACAUUUCACGACAGUGCCUUAAUGCUGAAGGACAGGUCCAGUGGUAGGAAUUUGAUGUAUCGUGGCAUGCCAACAAGAGGACGUUUGGGGGCAAUAGAAGGAAAUGAGUAAUUUGUGGGGUACCUUCCACGUGCCAGGAACAGGGCGAGCUUCUUCCAGUGAGCCUGUGAGGUGGCACCAUUAUCUCUGUUUUACACAUUCGAGAACUCAAGCUUGCUUAGGGUCCCAGGGCCAGUUAAUGGGUGGGGUCAGAGUGUGAAUCCUCUUCUGCUUGAUUCCAGAGCCCAAGCUCCUUCCCCUGUUCUGUGCUGCCUCUCCACAGGGCCUCUGUCUUCAGUGUUUCCUACUAGCGCCGAGCCCAGCACCUGGCAUGAACAUGAACAUGUGACGGUGGUCUUAGAAGGUGGGAUAGGGCUGUCAGAUCUUAGAGGCUUGUCUGGGGGUUAGGACUCACCCUUCCCCAGUAGGCACUGAGAAACGGAUUUGACGAUGAUGAAGAUUUACGUACCAUUGGUGCUUGGCUCACCCUGUGAAGGCAGUGGCCCUGAUUCUCCCUGAUGUGGACAGACCGGGUGAGAGGGGCACCUCUGCUGCCUGUGGUCAUUCUGGGAUCCAUAUCCUUUGGAAGUGCUGCUCCAUCACAGGACAUCAUUGUCCACAUGGCUGAAGCUUGGAUUCCAACCAGGGGAAGGGAAAAGAGGAGGUGAAGGAGACAAGCCUGUUGUCCUUAGGCCCAGGUCCUCUGUGACUCACAUCCCUACAGCUCACAUUCCAUUGGCAAGAAUGUAAUUACAGGGACUUCCCUGACUGCAAGGGAGGCUGGGAAAUGUGGUCCAGCUGGGCUGCCACUUGCCCAGAAGGAGGGGAGAAUGGACUUGGGUAGACAGCUGCCAGUCUUAGCACAAAAGAUGGAGAGUAUUUUCCUUUGCAUGUGCUGAUACGAAGAAUAUUUCCCUGCCUGUAAUGUGCCCACUCUCUUUGAUAACUUGCACACAUGCCUCCCUCCUUGGCAAACAUCUGUGCAUCAGACUCAAUGCUGCACAAACUGGGUGAACCAGAAGCUGAGUAAGGCAGUUCCUGCCUUUUAGCAACUCAGUGUGGUCUGGAGAGGGCAAGUGUGGAGGCCAGAGAGUCUGUAAGUGGCAACACAGAGAUUCUCUUGUUCUUGUGUGCGAGGCACUGCAGAUACAGAACUAAAGGACCACACAUGGCCUCCAUAUGCGCGCAGUCGUGUGGACUAGGAGAUGGAAGUGAAGUGCUGGGAGCAGGGCUGGCUUGGGGAAUGAGGAGGGCUUCACGGAAGAGGUGACAUUGGAGCCGGGCACAGAAGCGUUCAGUUUCAACAGGUGGAGGAGGGGAAUCUUCAGGAGAGAAGACCAACAGCGAAGGCGUGCAGACUUGCAAACCCGUGCAGGGUUGCCGGCCCGGGUGUGGUCUGCGCAUAGUGGGAGGGAGUCCAGAUGUCUGUGUGGUUCAUUCCUUGCUCCAUUCUGGCCUCUGCACCUGCUCCUUGCACCUGCCUUCCCUGGCCACCCUUUCUACAAUUGUGCCCCCUCUCAUGACUUUAUUUUUCUGCUUUAUUUUGAGCAUAACACAUAUAAAUACCUGGCACAUCUAUAUUGACCUGUGCAUCAUCUGUCUCUCCCAUUAGAGUAUAAGUUCCAUGAGAGCAAGGAUUUUGUUUUGUACAGUACCAGGCAAAUAGCAGGUACUCAGAUGUUUGCUGAAUGAAUAAAUGAAUGAAUAGAAAUGUGUGUUGAAGAUCACAUUCUUGGAAAACCUUGAUUUCUAUGCUAAAGAGUUGGGCUUUUAUUUUGUAAGGCAGUGGGAAGCCACGGAAAGUUUUUGAGCAGGGGGGUGACACAGUCACUGUAGGGAAGGUUAUUGGCAGCAGGAAGAUGGGUUGGAGCAGGGAGAAGGUGCCCCUUCCCUGGUCCUACCCCAGCUCCGCAGCAAUAUACCCUUCAGCCUAGUGCCCCGUUUGUGCAGCCUGGAAACCUUUUCGCGGGCACGGUCAUUUUGUUCGGAGCCGAGCAGAGAUUCAGUCUCUGGCAAGUCUUCAUUUCUAGCAGUGGGGUGGAUGUAAGCUGACCUCUGCUUUUCUUUUUGGAGGCCAAAGAAGGUCUAACAGCCACUCUUGUGCACUUCACCGGUGAAAGUGAAAAUUGAUACAGUCUUUCUGGAAAGCAGUUUGGCAAAAGGUAACCAAGUACCUUAAAGAUAUUGUUAAAGAUACCUUUAACCUAGAAAUUCCACGAGGACUCUGUCAUAGGAAAGGAAGCCAAAGUAUGUGCAAAGCUUUAUGUAUGAAGACUUUCGUACCAGUGUGAAAAAUUAGAAAUGAUCUAAAUGUGUGACUCAAGUACCUCUCAUCUCCAUCCCACUAAAACUCUGCCUGCCACAUAAUAGGCACUCAAUACAGUUGGAGUCCGGGCCCUUGUUUUCUCUCCUGAGCUAAUGCAGCAGCCUCCUAACUGGUCUUCCUGCUGCCAGUCUAGUCCCCUCAAACCCACCCUAUGCAUGGAUUCCAGAAUGAAUGAUCAAAAAUGCGUGUCCUGGGCUUCCCUGGUGGCGCAUCGGUUGAGAGUCCGCCAGCCGAUGCAGGGGACACGGGUUCGUGCCCCGGUCCGGGAAGAUCCCACAUGCCUUGGAGCAACU